rnacentral:lncRNA from 1 species
AAUGAUGAGAACUGCUGCGUCCGCCCUGUGUUUGGAUGGAAGACGCCCUGGAUUUAAAGACGUGCUAUCCCACCAGCUCCUGUAGGAGCUCAGCACCGCGUUUGGCCUGUUGCGAUCUUCCCGCUCCCCUCAUUUCUGUGCUGCAACGCCACCAUGCACGAGAAGUCAGGAUUCACUUGGCAGGGAAGACAACCAUGGAAUCCAAGGGCUGUGGACAACCAUCUACCAGAUGGUUGUUGAAGAUGCCUUCGGUCACGUCAUUUGUCCUUUUAGCUCGCCCUUUCCUUUAUCUUGAGUUGAAUUUUUGUGCAGCGCUAUGUUUGCAGUGGUAACACUGCUGCUGAGGUGUUUUCGAUUAAAAACGAUCUUAACUGUAAUAGUGAAUUCACUGAGUGUGGCUUUGUAUAACGACUUCCACGACCAUAACAUUUUUCUCCUUUGUCACAGAUAGGAGGAAAACUCUUUAGAGAGAGAUGGAGAAGGAAUUAAUUAUACCUCUGCCUCAUCCCAUGAGACCAGAAGACGUGUAGUAACUGUAAGCUGCGAUUCUCAGGAGACAUACUAAGCAUCUCUGGUUCCUUCUCGGCCUGCCCCCCUAAGGCCUUAGGGAUGAGAAAUCUUAGGCUUAAUGUUUUUCCCUAUGAAAUACUGUCGUGUUAAGGGGCGUAGCUGACUAACUGUUACGGGUCUGGUCGGAUUCGGGGUACUGAACUACCACGGUCACGGAUUCACCAAUAACGUAGCACAC